UACGGGGGGGGCAAGCGUUGUUCGGAAUUACUGGGCGUAAGGUAGGUUAGUGCGAGCCACUAAGUCAUACGUGAAAUCCCUCAGCUUAACUGGGGAACUGCGUCUGAUACUGGUUGGCUUGAGUGCAGGAGAGGAACGCGGAAUUCCAGGUGUAGCGGUGAAAUGCGUAGAUAUCUGGAGGAACACCGGUGGCGAAGGCGGCGCCCUGGACGACACCUGACGCUGAGGCACGAAAGCUGGGGGAGCGAACAGG
rnacentral:rRNA from 1 species